rnacentral:misc_RNA from 1 species
GAAAUGCGAUAAGUAGUGUGAAUUGCAGAAUUCAGUGAAUCAUCGAAUCUUUGAACGCACAUUGCGCCCCUUGGUAUUCCAUGGGGCAUGCCUGUUCGAGCGUCAUUUGUACCCUCAAGCUCUGCUUGGUGUUGGGUGUUUGUCCCCGUCUCCGCGCGUGGACUCGCCCCAAGGUGAUUGGCAGCCGGCGUACUGGUCCCGGAGCGCAGCACAUGUCGCGCAAACGAGUGCCUUGGUACGGCGGCGUCCAUAAGCCCCUCUCUCACGCUCUUGACCUCGGAUCAGGUAGGGAUACCCGCUGAACUUAAGC